GGAUCAUAAAGGUUCCCAUGUGUCAGAUUUUUCUCUUGCACUUUUUAGUGUGAUGGUUAGUUCUCCACUUUCUACGCUCUCUGUUAAAAAGCUUGCCUGUCUUCAUUCCACUCCACUAAGAACCCACCAACCAGCACAGCUUUCUUUCUUCCUUACACAGCUCUGUUGUUAUACAAAGUCUGCCAGAAUUAGAAUCUGCCUCUAAGAUGCACAAUGUAAUACAUUUCUUGCAGUAGAGUACAUAUCGCAAACAGCAGUAGUUCUUUUAAGUUGAAAGACUGGAAUUCAGAAUAGAACUCAUACACAAACCGGCCUUCCAACGAAAAAAACAAACAGUAAUUAAUGUGGAUAGCUGCAAUGAGAGAUGAAUGACAGCCUUGUUUCAUUAAGCCAAGGACAGGAAGCGUGCUUUGAAUCUGAUAACCAAUCAGAUGCAUUUUACACCAAAGAUAUGGCCAUCCCACCUCCUUCACUCACUAAAAUAUGAACAACAUCCUUAACAAAAGACACUGUCAAGAUGAUCAUGGUAUGGAUUACACUGAUUUUUCUUCAUCGAGGAUAUUCUCUGGUUCCAGUGAAAACAGUUCAGCUUGGUGAACCAGUGACCUUAACAUGUGCUUUGCCCAAAGGGCUCCAGAGUGGAGAAGUCCACUGGUACAAGCAGAAUCACGGGGAUACCCUAAAGUUAAUUAUGACAUCGUUUAAAUCUACACCACCGGAAUAUGGUCCUGCAUUUUCUAAAUCAAGAUUUAAGCAACAUAAUGAUAACAAUUUCAGCAAUGUGACUAUUUUGAAGACCGUCCAAGAGGACGAGGGAAUCUAUCACUGUGGGCUCACAGAGUGGAUUAGGACUAACUGGAGUGGCACAUAUUUGUUUGUAAAAGGAAACAAUCAGAAAGCAUCAGUAGUUGUUCAACAGCUGACAGGAUCAAAUCCAAUCCAUCCAGGAGACACAGUGACUUUCCAGUGUUCAGUCUCUCACUCUGUCAAC